rnacentral:rRNA from 1 species
UACGGGGGGGGCAAGCGUUGUUCGGAAUUACUGGGCGUAAAGGGCUCGUAGGCGGCCAACUAAGUCGGACGUGAAAUCCCCAGGCUCAACCUGGGAACUGCAUCCGAUACUGGAUGGCUUGAAUUCGGGAGAGGGAUGCAGAAUUCCAGGUGUAGCGGUGAAAUGCGUAGAUAUCAGGAGGAACACCCGUGGCGAAAGCGGCUCUCUGGGACGGUACUGACGCUGAGACGCGAAAGCGUGGGGAGCAAACAGG